UACGUAGGGGGCAAGCGUUAUCCGGAUUUACUGGGUGUAAAGGGAGCGUAGACGGCAUGGCAAGUCAGAUGUGAAAGCCCGGGGCUCAACCCCGGGACUGCAUUUGAAACUGUCAGGCUGGAGUGCAGGAGAGGUAAGCGGAAUUCCUAGUGUAGCGGUGAAAUGCGUAGAUAUUAGGAGGAACACCAGUGGCGAAGGCGGCUUACUGGACUGUAACUGACGCUGAGGCUCGAAAGCGUGGGGAGCAAACAGG
rnacentral:rRNA from 1 species